rnacentral:sRNA from 1 species
UAAGUAACAAUAUGCUGUGUACGUCCC